rnacentral:rRNA from 1 species
UACGAGGGGGGGCGAGCGUUGUUCGGAAUUAUUGGGCGUAAAGGGUGCGUAGGCGGUUCCGCAAGUCCUGUGUGAAAUCUUCGGGCUCAACUCGAAGUCUGCACGGGAAACUGCGGGGCUUGAGUGUGGGAGAGGUGAGUGGAAUUCCCGGUGUAGCGGUGAAAUGCGUAGAGAUCCGGAAGAACACCGGUGGCGAAGGCGGCCUGCUGGGCAGUUGCUGACGCUGAUGCGCGAAAGCGUGGGGAGCGAUCCGG